UCACUGUAUAUCUUGACGUUAGCAGCUGC
rnacentral:sRNA from 1 species